rnacentral:rRNA from 1 species
GACGAACGCUGGCGGCGUGCUUAACACAUGCAAGUCGAACGGCAAGGCCCUGCUUUUGUGGGGUGCUCGAGUGGCGAACGGGUGAGUAACACGUGAGUAACCUGCCCUUGACUUUGGGAUAACUUCAGGAAACUGGGGCUACUACCGUAUAGGAGCUCCUGCUGCAUGGUGGGGGUUGGAAAGUUUCGGCGGUUGGGGAUGGACUCGCGGCUUAUCAGCUUGUUGGUGGGGUAGUGGCUUACCAAGGCUUUGACGGGUAGCCGGCCUGAGAGGGUGACCGGCCACAUUGGGACUGAGAUACGGCCCAGACUCCUACGGGAGACAGCAGUGGGGAAUAUGGCACAAUGGGCGCAAGCCUGAUGAAGCAACGCCGCGUGCGGGAUGACGGCCUUCGGGUUGUAAACCGCUUUCGCCUGUGACGAAGCGUGAGUGACGGUAAUGGGUAAAGAAGCACCGGCUAACUACGUG